UCGGAGUAUCAGUAUCGUUUGAAAGGCUUUGAUAUGGUCCGAUCUUGAGAAAGUGAGGCAAUCCCUUCACUCAAGUCGAAAGGGAUUUACUCAUGGCCGAUUUGUAAUCUUGGAAUUUUAAAAGUUUUAAGCGGAUACAGGUUACAGUAAUAUUAUUCACCGAUGAAUUGCUAAUUCAUUAUUCUGAUUAUAAUCGAUUUAAAAUUAACUUGAGACUCUCUGGCGGGCAAUUAAGAUUAACCAGUGGGUCUCGGUCUCGAGUCUUAUCAGUCAAGCACCAAAGGCCACACAUCAGUGGAGCAAUCAAUGAAGGCGAAAUCCUAGAGCUUGCACAUACUUAUUUGCAAAUUGCGUUGAAUGGAAGUGGAUCAUCUGCUCACACCCUCUUCAUAACAGAAACACAAAGGCGCACCCAUAAUAAGGCGAAAAAACUGGAAAGGAAUGUUUGAAGCUUUGACAACAGACAUUUUUAUACCCUUUGCAAUGUUUACCAAAAUUGUUUAACUACAUAUUUGAUGAGCUUCAGAUUUCCAAAAAAUUUUUAAAGUUGAACAUUAAAAGAAACAUUUUUUAGGAUAAAAUAAAUCCAGUCCAAACUAUAUUGAGCUCAAAAUUUAUAAAUGUAAACUUAACUCAAUGAAUAACUCAAGAGGAAAGACAUUCAAAUGCAAAUAUAUAAAUUGAUAACGAAUUAUAAGAA